rnacentral:rRNA from 1 species
GACGAACCACACGAACGUUAUUCGGAAUUACUGGGCUUAAAGGGUGCGUAGGCGGCGCGGUAAGUAGGGUGUGAAAUCCCUCGGCUCAACCGAGGAACCGCGCUCUAAACUACCGUGCUUGAGGGAGAUAGAGGUGAGCGGAACUUAGGGUGGAGCGGUGAAAUGCGUUGAUAUCCUAAGGAACACCGGUGGCGAAAGCGGCUCACUGGAUCUUUUCUGACGCUGAGGCACGAAAGCUAGGGUAGCGAACGGG